rnacentral:misc_RNA from 1 species
AACGCACAUUGCGCCCGCCGGUAUUCCGGCGGGCAUGCCUGUCCGAGCGUCAUUUCAACCCUCAGGGCCCCCUUCCGGGGGGGGCCUGGCGCUGGGGGACGGCACCGGCGAGCGCCUCGGGCGCCCGCCCGCCGCCCCCGAAAUGCAGUGGCGGCCACGCAGCAGCGACCCCCGCGUAGUAGCACAGAAGCUCGCGGGCGGAAGCGCCGCGCGGCCACGCCGUCAAGACAGCGCGAGUCCCUCCGGGCUCCGCGACGCCUCGGAGUUGACCUCGGAUCAGGUAGGAAUACCCGCUGAACUUAA